GCAAUAACAUGGUUGUCAUUGCUAUGGAAAUAUUUAUCAAUUUGAGCAAGUCCAGAGUCAACAUCCCACAACAAGAUCAUACCCAGACUUGCAGCAGCACUGGCCUUUCCAUGUUCUUUAUUCUUGAAAAGCCAAUUUCCUGAAGAACCACCACUUAAAGGGUCUGAAGGAACUGUCAUUAACUUAUCCUGACCAAAGCCUGCAUUUACAAACGCAUUGACAAAAGUAGCAGCCAAAUUUUGUCUAGCAGAAUCAACACUAGCACCAGCACUAGCCCGCCCAUCAAGCAAAUGUGCCUUAUAGAU
rnacentral:misc_RNA from 1 species